AUUAUUGUUUUAUUUGAUAUAUACGAUAUUUUGUAUAUGAUAUAUAUCUUAAAUAAAGCGCCAAAUCACAAGUUUCUUCCCUGUUUGUACUGUAAGGUAAAAACAAUACAGUACUACAGAGAAGCCCAACAAUCAAAUGAUCCCCCUUUGAGCAAGCACAAGGCGACAGUGGGGAAGAAAAACUCCCUUCUGACAGGAAGAAACUUCCAACGGAACCAGGCUCAGAAAGGGGCAGCCAUCCGCUGCGACUGGUUGGGGGUGAUGGAAAUGGAUUUGGUGCUAAAAUUCUGCUUCAAGAUUUUAAAAGAAGCAAGGCAGCAGGAAAAAGGCAAAAAUGUCAUGUAAUCAUUGCUGCCCUUUAAAGCAGCACGUAAAGGGUUUUGAAAAAGCUUUUAACACUGCUGAAAAAAACCUGGAAAUUUUGGACUUUUCUGGAGGACUGGGGAGCCCGAAUUUCAAAUGACUUAUCACAGCCUUGUCAAAAGAUGAAUCAUUUGACAUCGCAGCAUUUAAGACAUUGUCUGAGGAGCCAAACUCCUUGAUGAGGGAUUUGGCCAUUUUCUUAAUGAACUGAUUCUUGUCAUUUAUCAGAUUUAUGGCGGACUCUGUGCUGCUGAGUUCAGGCUGUAUCAACUCUGUCAGAUGGUUGAUGAGAGUGUGUAUUUCUCUUGAAGUACUUGUGGUCUUAGCCACAGAUUGCAUGGUCUUAGACUUACAUUUUACAAGAAGUGUCUUAAAGAGCAAAAAGGAGAGGUCAGUGGACAUUUCCUUAAAAUCAGAAGAUGACCUUGACACAACACCCAUCUCUAAUACUUCAAAGGAAUCUUUAAGAGAGCCUGAAAUGCUCGCAGAGCAUUUUUCUGGAGAAACGCUCUUAGGUUCUGCCAUUGGAGGUGAGUCGAUGGAUGCCAGAGACCAUUUUUCUGGAGAAACGCUCUUAGGUUCUGCCAUUGGAGGUGAGUCGAUGGAUACCAGAGAGCAUUUUUCUGGAAAAACGCUCUUAGGUUCUGCCAUUGGAGGUGAGUCGAUGGAUGCCAGAGAGCAUUUUUCUUUGUUCUUUGUUGAAUCCAUUUCACCAAAUAUCUCAUGGAUGACGUCAACUACAGCCUGUUCUACAGGGUUUAGAGCUCGGACACUUUUUGUUUCAGCAGUUAUUUCACCUUCUUUUGCUACACCUGAUCCUUCUGGAAGCUCAAUUUCUUCCCCCUCCUGAUCUGAAUUUUCAUACAUUGCAGUCACAAAUGUUAUUUUCUUGGUUUGUGUUAAAAGCGUGAGACGUUUCCUGAGAGAGCGCCGACUGUUCAAC
ensembl:lncRNA